rnacentral:tRNA from 1 species
GCUAAAAUAGUUUAAAAUAAAACAUUAAUCUUGUAAAUUAAAAUUAAUAAAAUAUUAUUUUUUAGCU